GUCUCUGAACUCCAGCCUCUGCUAUGGAGUACAAGGGGCAGCUUCAGCUGGAGAAGAAGAGUUCCCAGGAAGAAGAUGCCAUGGCGAUGGCGGCAUCGUCCCCUUCCUUCUUCCUAUGGCACCCCUUGUCUCUACUGCAUCACGUCACCCGCAGCUGCGCAGGCUACUUGGGCCUCUCCCGCCUCUGCCACGCCCUCAAGGAUCUGAAGCCUCGCGCCGCUACGUCACCUCCCGCAGCUACCUCUCCCCAGCUGCAUGAUGAAGAGCCCGGAGUGGGAGGCGCUGGACACGCUGCAGAUGACGAUUGCGCGGCCGUGGAAGUGCGCUCGAGAGGGGUGCCCCAGAGGCCUCGUGCUCCAAGAGAAGGACGAGGAGGAACACACCAUUAGGCUUAGCUUAGCCUGCGAACUGUAGACUAUAACCGUGUGUUCUUUCUGGAACUCUGAGUUCAGAGUCUUAGAGUGAGUGCAUCCAUCUCUUCCCUGUUAUGUUAGCAAUACAAGUUUAAAUUCCAGGCCGGGCAUGUUGUUUGUGUUCCGCACUUCAGCUUACAAUGCUAAUUUCACACACCUGGGUGGAAGCAAGGAGUUGUUUCUGUUUGUAUUUGCCAAGAAUACUCACAUCUUACUUGUGAGCUUGGUACUGUAUUACACUAGGCUUCUAUGGAGUAAAGAGUAUGCUAAUCCGUAUA